rnacentral:miRNA from 14 species
UUUGGAAUCUUUUCUUUAAAAACAAAGGCAAUUGCUUCUCGGCCCUUUGGCUAAGAUCAAGUGUAAAAACAAAGGCAAAUCACUCAUGGUGGCUCCAAACCAGGUGACU